AGUGAACGCUGGCGGUAGGCCUAACACAUGCAAGUCGAACGGCAGCACAGUAAGAGCUUGCUCUUACGGGUGGCGAGUGGCGGACGGGUGAGGAAUACAUCGGAAUCUACUUUUUCGUGGGGGAUAACGUAGGGAAACUUACGCUAAUACCGCAUACGACCUACGGGUGAAAGCAGGGGAUCUUCGGACCUUGCGCGAUUGAAUGAGCCGAUGUCGGAUUAGCUAGUUGGCGGGGUAAAGGCCCACCAAGGCGACGAUCCGUAGCUGGUCUGAGAGGAUGAUCGGCCACACUAGAGCUGAGACACGGUCCAGACUCCUACGGGAGGCAGCAGUGGGGAAUAUUGGACAAAGGGCGCAAGCCUGAUCCAGCCAUACCGCGUGGGUGAAGAAGGCCUUCGGGUUGUAAAGCCCUUUUGUUGGGAAAGAAAAGCAGCAGGUUAAUACCCCGCUGUUCUGACGGUACCCAAAGAAUAAGCACCGGCUAACUUCGUG
rnacentral:rRNA from 1 species